UAAGCGGAGGAAAAGAAACUAACAAGGAUUCCCCUAGUAACGGCGAGUGAAGUGGGAAAAGCUCAACUUUGUAAUCUGGCUGUCUUUGGCAGUCCGAGUUGUAGUCUAGAGAAGUGUUAUCCGCGCAGACCCUUAUAGAUUUCGGUUGGAAUGCCAAGUCAAAGAGGGUGAGAAUCCCGUAUUUGAUAAGGUGGUCUUGUGCAUUGUGAUACAUUUUCAAAGAGUCGAGUUGUUUGGGAAUGCAGCUCAAAGUGGGUGGUAAAUUCCAUCUAAAGCUAAAUAUUGGCGAGAGACCGAUAGCGAACAAGUACCGUGAGGGAAAGAUGAAAAGCACUUUGGAAAGAGAAUGAAAUAGUACAUGAAAUUGCUGAAAGGGAAACGAAUGAAGUUAGACUUGCGCAGUUGGUAUUCAACCUUGGCUUCGGUCUUGGUGCAUUUGCCUUCUAUUGCAGGCCAGCAUCAGUUUACUUUGCUGUAAAAGGGUUUGAGGAAUGUGGCUUCUCCGGGAGUGUUAUAGCCUCUUUCUGGAUGCAGAAUCGUAAACUGAGGAACGCAGCGCGCCAUUAGGCAGGGUCUUUAGACUCCGAGCGCUUAGGAUGCUGGUAGAAUAGCUUUAUACGACCCGUCUUGA
rnacentral:rRNA from 1 species